GGGCUGCAGUGGGGAAUAUUGGACAAUGGGCGAAAGCCUGAUCCAGCAAUGCCGCGUGAGUGAUGAAGGCCUUAGGGUUGUAAAGCUCUUUUACCAGGGAUGAUAAUGACAGUACCUGGAGAAUAAGCUCCGGCUAACUCCGUGCCAGCAGCCGCGGUAAUACGGAGGGAGCUAGCGUUGUUCGGAAUUACUGGGCGUAAAGAGUACGUAGGCGGUUAUUCAAGUCAGAGGUGAAAGCCUGGAGCUCAACUCCAGAACUGCCUUUGAAACUAGAUAGCUAGAAUCUUGGAGAGGUGAGUGGAAUUCCGAGUGUAGAGGUGAAAUUCGUAGAUAUUCGGAAGAACACCAGUGGCGAAGGCGACUCACUGGACAAGUAUUGACGCUGAGGUACGAAAGCGUGGGGAGCAAACAGGAUUAGAUACCCUAGUAGUC
rnacentral:rRNA from 1 species